GAAGGGUUUCGGCCUUAGUGGCGGACGGGUGAAGUAACGCGUAGGUAUCUAUCCAUGGGGUGGGGGAUAACACUGGGAAACUGGUGCUAAUACCGCAUGACACCUGAGGGUCAAAGGCGUAAGUCGCCUGUGGAGGAGCCUGCGUUUGAUUAGCUAGUUGGUGGGGUAAAGGCCUACCAAGGCGAUGAUCAAUAGCUGGUUUGAGAGGAUGAUCAGCCACACUGGGACUGAGACACGGCCCAGACUCCUACGGGAGGCAGCAGUGGGGAAUAUUGGACAAUGGGGGCAACCCUGAUCCAGCAAUGCCGCGUGUGUGAAGAAGGUCUUCGGAUUGUAAAGCACUUUCGACGGGGACGAUGAUGACGGUACCCGUAGAAGAAGCCCCGGCUAACUUCGUGCCAGCAGCCGCGGUAAUACGAAGGGGGCUAGCGUUGCUCGGAAUGACUGGGCGUAAAGGGCGUGUAGGCGGUUUGUACAGUCAGAUGUGAAAUCCCCGGGCUUAACCUGGGAGCUGCAUUUGAUACGUGCAGACUAGAGUGUGAGAGAGGGUUGUGGAAUUCCCAGUGUAGAGGUGAAAUUCGUAGAUAUUGGGAAGAACACCGGUGGCGAAGGCGGCAACCUGGCUCAUUACUGACGCUGAGGCGCGAAAGCGUGGGGAGCAAACAGGAUUA
rnacentral:rRNA from 1 species